rnacentral:rRNA from 1 species
AGAGUUUGAUCCUGGCUCAGGAUGAACGCUAGCGACAGGCCUAACACAUGCAAGUCGAGGGGCAUCGGGGUGUAGCAAUACGCUGCCGGCGACCGGCGGAUGGGUGAGUAACGCGUAUGCAACCUGCCUUCAGCAGGGGGAUAGCCCGUUGAAAGACGGAUUAAUACCCCGUGACACAGGGGCUCCGCAUGGAGAUUAUUGUUAAAGGGAUGCUUCCUUCGGGGAGUAUUCCGGCUGAAGAUGGGCAUGCGUUCCAUUAGGUAGUUGGUUGAGGUAACGGCUCACCAAGCCUGCGAUGGAUAGGGGAACUGAGAGGUUGGUCCCCCACACUGGUACUGAGACACGGACCAGACUCCUACGGGAGGCAGCAGUGAGGAAUCUUGGUCAAUGGACGGAAGUCUGAACCAGCCAUGUCGCGUGAAGGAGGACGGCCCUAAGGGUUGUAAACUUCUUUUGCAGGGGAAUAAAGUAUUCCACGAGAUGGGAUAUUGCAAGUACGCUGCGAAUAAGGAUCGGCUAACUCCGUGCCAGCAGCCGCGGUAAUACGGAGGAUCCGAGCGUUAUCCGGAUUUAUUGGGUUUAAAGGGUGCGCAGGCGGGAAGUUAGGUCGGCGGUGAAAUUUCGGGGCUCAACCCCGAGAGUGCCGUUGAAACCGGUUUUCUUGAGUGCGGAUGAGGUAGGCGGAAUUUGUGGUGUAGCGGUGAAAUGCGUAGAUAUCACAAGGAACACCGAUUGCGGAGGCAGCUUACUAAACCGUUACUGACGCUCAUGCACGAAGGCGUGGGGAUCAAACAGGAUUAGAUACCCUGGUAGUCCACGCAGUAAACGAUGAUUACUAGCUGUUUGCGAUACAGUGUAAGCGGCUUAGCGAAAGCGUUAAGUAAUCCACCUGGGGAGUACGUUUGCAAGAAUGAAACUCAAUGAAUUGACGG